AUUGAACGCUGGCGGCAGGCCUAACACAUGCAAGUCGGGCGAGCGGCGGACGGGUGAGUAAUAUAUGGGGAUCUGCCUGAUGGAGGGGGCUAACUACUGUAAACGGUAGCUAAUACCGCAUACCUUCAGAUGAACCAAUAUGGGAUUAGCUUGUAGGUGAGGUACGGGCUCACCUAGGCGACGAUCCCUAGCUGGUCUGAGAGGAUGAUCAGCCACACUGGGACUGAGACACGGCCCAGACUCCUACGGUAGGAAGCAGUGGGGAAUAGUGAACAAUGGGCGCAAGCCUGAUGCAGCCAUGCCGCGUGAGUGAAGAAGGUUUUCGGAUCGUAAAACUCUGUUGUUAGAGAAGCGGUAUCUAACCAGAAAGCCACGGCUAACUACGUGCCAGCAGCCGCGGUAAUUC
rnacentral:rRNA from 1 species